rnacentral:rRNA from 1 species
UUCUUGGUGGCCCCACAGCCGCGGUAAUUCCAGCUCCAAUAGCGUAUAUUAAAGUUGUUGCAGUUAAAAAGCUCGUAGUUGAACCUUGGGUCUGGCUGGCCGGUCCGCCUCACCGCGAGUACUGGUCCGGCUGGACCUUUCCUUCUGGGGAAUCCCAUGGCCUUCACUGGCUGUGGGUGGAACCAGGACUUUUACUGUGAAAAAAUUAGAGUGUUCAAAGCAGGCCUUUGCUCGAAUACAUUAGCAUGGAAUAAUAGAAUAGGACGUGCGGUUCUAUUUUGUUGGUUUCUAGGACCGCCGUAAUGAUUAAUAGGGAUAGUCGGGGGCGUCAGUAUUCAGCUGUCAGAGGUGAAAUUCUUGGAUUUGCUGAAGACUAACUACUGCGAAAGCAUUCGCCAAGGAUGUUUUCAUUAAUCAGGGAACGAAAGUUAGGGGAUCGAAGACGAUCAGAUACCGUCGUAGUCUUAACCAUAAACUAUGCCGACUAGGGAUCGGGCGGCGUUUCUAUGAUGACCCGCUCGGCACCUUACGAGAAAUCAAAGUUUUUGGGUUCUGGGGGGAGUAUGGUCGCAAGGCUGAAACUUAAAGAAAUUGACGGAAGGGCACCACAAGGCGUGGAGCCUGCGGCUUAAUUUGACUCAACACGGGGAAACUCACCAGGUCCAGACAAAAUAAGGAUUGACAGAUUGAGAGCUCUUUCUUGAUCUUUUGGAUGGUGGUGCAUGGCCGUUCUUAGUUGGUGGAGUGAUUUGUCUGCUUAAUUGCGAUAACGAACGAGACCUCGGCCCUUAAAUAGCCCGGUCCGCGUCCGCGGGCCGCUGGCUUCUUAGGGGGACUAUCGGCUCAAGCCGAUGGAAGUGCGCGGCAAUAACAGGUCAGAGUGGGCCCCUUAAAA